rnacentral:rRNA from 1 species
GAUCCUGGCUUAGGAUGAACGCUAGCUACAGGCUUAACACAUGCAAGUCGAGGGGCAACAUUGGGAUAGCUUGCUAUUCCAGAUGGCGACCGGCGCACGGGUGAGUAACGCGUAUCCAACCUUCCCCAUAGUAGGGCACAGCCCGGCGAAAGUCGGAUUAAUUCCCUAUGCAGUCCAGAGAGGACAUCUGACCUGGACGAAAGAUUCAUCGCUAUGGGAUGGGGAUGCGUCUGAUUAGGUUGCAGGCGGGGUAACGGCCCACCUGGCCGACGAUCAGUAGGGGUUCUGAGAGGAAGGUCCCCCACAUUGGAACUGAGACACGGUCCAAACUCCUACGGGAGGCAGCAGUGAGGAAUAUUGGUCAAUGGACGGAAGUCUGAACCAGCCAAGUAGCGUGCAGGAAGACGGCCCUAUGGGUUGUAAACUGCUUUUAUCAGGGGAUAAAGUGAGGUAUGUAUACCUUUUUGCAUGUACCUGAUGAAUAAGGACCGGCUAAUUCCGUGCCAGCCGCCGC